rnacentral:rRNA from 1 species
AGCGAACGCUGGCGGCAGGCCUAACACAUGCAAGUCGAACGGAUCCUUCGGGAUUAGUGGCGGACGGGUGAGUAACACGUGGGAACUUGCCCUUUGGUUCGGAACAACUCAGUGAAACUUGAGCUAAUACCGGAUGUGCCCUUCGGGGGAAAGAUUUAUCGCCAUUGGAGCGGCCCGCGUCUGAUUAGCUAGUUGGGGAGGUAACGGCCCACCAAGGCGACGAUCAGUAGCUGGUCUGAGAGGAUGGUCUGCCACACUGGGACUGAGACACGGCCCAGACUCCUACGGGAGGCAGCAGUGGGGAAUCUUGCGCAAUGGGCGAAAGCCUGACGCAGCCAUGCCGCGUGAAUGAUGAAGGUCUUAGGAUUGUAAAAUUCUUUCAGCGGGGACGAUAAUGACGGUACCCGCAGAAGAAGCUCCGGCUAACUUCGUG